rnacentral:tRNA from 1 species
GAAUAUAGCUCAGAUGGUAGAGCGACUGACUUUUAAUCAGAGGGUCACUGGUUCGAGCCCAGUUGUUC